rfam:Bursaphelenchus xylophilus, Ka4C1 (inbred line), WGS project CADV01000000 data, contig: scaffold00579.30
CAAACGGCCCUCUUCAGGGCCACAAAUUCGUAACUUUUAUGCUUGU